rnacentral:rRNA from 1 species
CAAUAGCGUAUAUUAAAGUUGUUGCGGUUAAAAGCUCGUAGUUGGAUUUCUGCUGAGGACGACCCGGUCCGGCCCUCUGGGUGAGUAUCUGGGCUCUGGCCUUGGGCAUCUUCUUGGGGAACGUAACUGCACUUGACUGUGUGGUGCGGUAUCCAGGACUUUUACUUUGAGGAAAUUAGAGUGUUUCAAGCAGGCGCACGCCUUGAAUACAUUAGCAUGGAAUAAUAAGAUAGGACCUUGGUUCUAUUUUGUUGGUUCUAGAGCUGAGGUAAUGAUUAAUAGGGAUAGUUGGGGGGCAUUCGUAUUUAACUGUCAGAGGUGAAAAUUCUUGGAUUUGUUAAAGACGGACUACUGCGAAAGCAUUUGCCAAGGAUGUUUUCAUUGAUCAAGAACGAAAGUUAGGGGAUCGAAGAUGAUCAGAU